rnacentral:rRNA from 1 species
GCGGCGGACGGGUGAGUAAUACCUGGGAAUCUGCCUGAUAGUGGGGGAUAACGUCCGGAAACGGGCGCUAAUACCGCGUACGUCCUACGGGAGAAAGCAGGGGAUCUUCGGACCUUGCGCUAUCAGAUGAGCCCAGGUCGGAUUAGCUAGUUGGUGGGGUAAUGGCUCACCAAGGCGACGAUCCGUAACUGGUCUGAGAGGAUGAUCAGUCACACUGGAACUGAGACACGGUCCAGACUCCUACGGGAGGCAGCAGUGGGGAAUAUUGGACAAUGGGCGCAAGCCUGAUCCAGCCAUGCCGCGUGUGUGAAGAAGGUCUUCGGAUUGUAAAGCACUUUAAGCCGGGAGGAAGGGCUGACGCCUAAUACGUGUCAGUUUUGACGUUACCGGCAGAAUAAGCACCGGCUAACUCUGUGCCAGCAGCCGCGGUAAUACAGAGGGUGCAAGCGUUAAUCGGAAUUACUGGGCGUAAAGCGCGCGUAGGUGGUUCAGUAAGAUGGGUGUGAAAUCCCCGGGCUCAACCUGGGAACUGCUUUCAUAACUGCUGAACUAGAGUACGGUAGAGGGUAGUGGAAUUUCCUGUGUAGCGGUGAAAUGCGUAGAUAUAGGAAGGAACACCAGUGGCGAAGGCGACUACCUGGACUGAUACUGACACU